rnacentral:rRNA from 1 species
GAUGAACGCUGGCGGCGUGCCUAAUACAUGCAAGUCGAGCGAACGGACGAGAAUCUUGCUUCUCUGAUGUUAGCGGCGGACGGGUGAGUAACACGUGGAUAACCUACCUAUAAGACUGGGAUAACUUCGGGAAACCGUAUCUAAUACCGGAUAAUAUUUUGAACCGCAUGGUUCAAAAGUGAAAGACGGUCUUGCUGUCACUUAUAGAUGGAUCCGCGCUGCAUUAGCUAGUUGGUAAGGUAACGGCGUACCAAGGCAACGAUGCAUAGCCGAUCUGAGAGGGUGAUCAGCCACACUGGAACUGAGACACGGUCCAGACUCCUACGGGAGGCAGCAGUAGGGAAUAUUCCGCAAUGGGCGAAAGCCUGACGGAGCCACGCCGCGUGAGUGAUGAAGGUCUUCGGAUCGUAAAACUCUGUUAUUAGGGAAGAACAUAUGUGUAAGUAACUGUGCCCAUCUUGACGGUACCUAAUCAGAAAGCCACGGCUAACUACGUG